rnacentral:piRNA from 1 species
CCGGAAGACAUAAAGGAUAAAGGUCCUGG